ensembl:ncRNA mir-1004 mir-1004 stem loop
GUUGGGGGACAUUGAUCUCGGAGACGGCGGUUUAACUGAUCCAUUCUCUCACAUCACUUCCCUCACAG